rnacentral:sRNA from 1 species
AUGUUCCUUCUUCUGGUGCUUCUCACUGGACUUGGUGGGAUGCAUGCAGACCUCAAUCCUCAUAAAAUCUUCCUGCAGACCACAAUUCCAGAGAAGAUUUCAUCAUCGGAUGCAAACACAGAUCCAGAACAUAAUGUUGUUUACAUGAUUACAAUAGAAGAAAAGCCAUAUUUUGUCCAUCUCAAAAAGCAAUCAAUUUUAUCUUCAGCUUCUGUUAUUAAUUCUUAUGACAAAAAUGACAUCUGUCAUUCCAAACCUCUGCUAGUUCAGAUGGAUUGCAAUUAUAAUGGAUAUGUUGCGGGUAUUCCAAAUUCUCUUGUGACUCUCAGCAUAUGUUCAGGACUCAGGGGAACAAUGCAGCUGAAAAACAUCUCAUAUGCAAUUGAACCAAUGGAGGCUGUAUCAGGAUUUAUACACAAGAUUUAUGAAGAAAAAUAUGCUGACACUAAUAUUCUCUUAGAAGACAAUGACACUUAUACUUGGUUUAAUUCAGAGUAUCAAGUCAGAAAAAGUUCAGAAAAAACUGACUUUAUUAAGUUAUUCCCUCGAUAUAUUGAAAUGCAUAUUGUUGUGGACAAAAAUUUGUUCAAACCGGUUAAUACGAUUUGUAGGAAAUCAGCUGAUAAAGAAUGUGAUUUCACUGAAUAUUGCAAUGGGGACCUUCCAUACUGUUUGCCUGACACUUAUGUACGUGAUGGAGAAUAUUGUGAUUCAGGUGGAGCCUUCUGUUUUCAAGGAAAGUGUCGGACUUUUGACAAACAAUGUGAUGAUUUAAUCGGAAGAGGUUCAAGAGGUGCUCCGAUUUUCUGUUAUGAUGAAAUUAAUACCAGAGGAGACAAUUUUGGAAACUGUGGCACUGCAUAUUGUCUUUUUCAACAUAUUCUAUGUGGAAAAUUAGUCUGUACAUGGGAACACAGAGACUUAAUAUCACGUCCAAAUUUAUCUGUGAUUUAUGCACAUGUACGAGACCAAACAUGUGUGUCUACAUACCUACCCAGGAAGACGCCACCUCCAGUAAAUAUACCUAUUGCAAUCACAUCAUAUUAUGCAGGUGAAGACAGAGAUGAAACAUUUGUACAAGAUGGUUCCAUGUGUGGUCCUGAUAUGUAUUGUUUCAAAAUGCGUUGUAAAGAUGUUAGAUUCCUGAUGAAUUUAAGAUUGUGUGAUGCUUCUAAUCAUUGUGGUGGUCAUGGAGUUUGCAACAAUUUUAACCAUUGCCAUUGUGAAAAGGGAUAUAAUCCUCCUUACUGCCAACCAAAGCAAGGAGCAUUUGGAAGUACUGAUGAUGGACACUUAGUACCACCAACUGAGAAAAGUUACAUGGAGGAGGGAAGACAGGCCACUUUCCAAAAACAACGGUUUCAAUUCAUUUUCUACAUUUCUCUACCUGUGCUUCUUAUUACUACUGCCAUUUUAAUAAAACGGAAAAAAUUGAGAGAGCUAUGCUAUAGAGGGGAAACUGAAAGUGAGAGCUCUGUGUCAGAAGAAAGCAGCAGUAACAGCAAGUCAUCCCUCAGUGAAAGCACCGGUCUCUAA